UGGUUGGGAAAAAAUAGUACCACCAUUACCAUCCAGCAGCAAGCCAUCCUGGUCCUGCGUUGAAUCUUCAUCGUCGCUCUGGAAAAACAUAAUCAGGAAUUUCACUGGUAGCUAAGAUCUGUUAUUUUGGACAAUGAGUAGGCCUCAAGUGAGAUGGAAUGAAGACAACUUGUAUGAAAUUGAAGCCAAUAAACCA